CUUGUUAGAAGCCAGUCUCUAGGUCCAGCCCGCAGUUAAUGGAAUGGGAUUGAUCACACAGGAUAUAAAUACAAGGAAGCAGGAUCCUUCGCAGCCAUUUCAGAAGCUACCACAGGAAUAAGAAAGAUCCACUUUUAAGAAGCUCACAGUCCAGCUGGGGCAAGAAAUACACACGUACAACUCUACCGCAAGAAACUUCUGUUCUUCGGAAAAAAAGUCAAGUAAUUUACAAUCUUCACAAGAGGAGCGAUGCUUUGCACACUGCCCAUUUUUCAUGAUGAUUGCCCUAAAAAAUGAAACCGAAGAGCAAAGGAGGAACUGGGGAACCUACAAAAGCCACAAAAAACAA